UACGUAGGGGGCAAGCGUUUGUCCGGAUUUAUUGGGCGUAAAGAGCGUGUAGGCGGUCAGGUAGGUCCGUUGUGAAAACUCGAGGCUCAACCUCGAGACGCCGAUGGAAACCAUCUGACUAGAGUCCGGAAGAGGAGAGUGGAAUUCCUGGUGUAGCGGUGAAAUGCGCAGAUAUCAGGAAGAACACCCGUGGCUAAGGCGGCUCUCUAGUACGGUACUGACGCUGAGACGCGAAAGCGUGGGGAGCGAACAGG
rnacentral:rRNA from 1 species